AAUCACCCUUGCAUCCUGCUCAGGAAAACAACCCAAAUCAACUCACAUGACUGAGCCAUCACAAUAAUUGUGAAGAUAUGUGCUCCAAAUGCCGAGCAGCUGCACAUGGUUAAUCACUUGAAAAGUAGCCCAACAGCAGAGAAGAGAAAUGCGCUGGAGGGAAGUGCCAGGAGGGCCUGGGACUCACCUAGUUUGGUUUGCUGAUGCAGACCAAGCAACUGCUGUAAAAGAGCCGAGAUGCAAACACAGCUGCGGGACGUGAGUGAAUCUGCCAGGAUGCCACCAAGCGGUGCAGACAUGCGCUUUCCUGGCACGGCCCCUCUGCGUGAAAUUUGUGAUGAAAUGAGGGAAAGGGUGGGGAUGUUUCGUAAUGUAUUUGAAAAAUGAUGCUUUAGUUAUAAUAUUUAGAAGAAAUUAUGCACGUGAAAAUAUUUUUGCUCUGACCAAAUGAAUUACAUACACAUUCUAUCAUGUGAUGAUAGAUACUUUCAGUGUGAUCUUGAUCCAAAGAUGAAAUAACCAUUAUUGAAUUUUUUAGACACAUAGUGUUCCUAUACAAACACAUUGUCAUUUUUAUUUACUUAUCUCAAAGGCUUUUUCCUGAACCUCCAGGUUGGUUCCAAUAUUGAAAGGAAUUUUUAGGGGUAAAAUAGGCAGGUUUAGGAAAUCUUAGGAA